CUCCCCCAUUGUGUAUUAAAGGAGACAAUUUAGAACUAUAAUUACCCUCCCAGAAGAGGUCAACCAACAAAGAUCACACCAGGAGCAAGCUGAGGUUGGCAAGAGCACUUGAAUCCAUUGCAGUAUCCCAAAGACGGAAGUUGUAAAUAUCCCCUUGAAGUGGCUCAGUUCCAGAACUGUAGGAGCCCAGUGUCAAAUUCCCAUUACCUGGAAUGGUAAGGUCUUUCACGUCUGGACAGGAAACAGCAAGCAUAUGAAUAUUUUCAAGACGUCAGCCUUCAUCUCUACGGUGUUCGACUCUUCAUCACAAUUCUCCAUCUCUUCACCCUUCACCCUGUUUAGAGUGUUCCAGGAUUUUUUGUAUCUUCCAAGAUUCAGAUCCUUCUUCUAGAUUCUCAUGCGAAUCUUCUCUUCUACCUCAAGAUUUCUCAUUGGCCACUGGUUCUUGAUGUUCCUUAUACAAGUUUUCAUCCAUCAGCAAAGAAAGAGGGAUAAUUAGUGACUUCAAGGACUUAUAUAACCUUGCAUACUGUUUGAUUGGCUAUUCAUCAGAAAUAGCAUGUUUGGCUGCACCUUUAAAGUUCUUUCAUGGUUUCUAUUAUUAAAAUACUUUACUGCUAAAUGUUUUUAGUAAAGAAAGAA